UUGUAAAUGGAAUAAUCAGCUGAUUUCGAUAAAUAUCACUCUUUGUUCGAUAAGUAUACCAACAUAUUAGCCAAAAUACUGUCACUUUUUUACUCAUUGCCGCAUGAUCAAUCAUCAAUGAUGCUUCUCUAUUAGCCGUCCCUCUCUUACACACAGCCACUUAUGGAAUGAUGCCGACGAAGGCUCUAUAGAGCAGCAAAUAAUACUAAAGCCCACCUCAAACAAAGCUCACUACCCCACAAUUUGAUAAACACCCACGCAAGGCUAUGAAAAUUACUACAUAUUUUUCUAUGUAUCAUUUACAUUUUUUGAUUCUUUAAUUACUCUCUGAUAUAUGUAAUUUAGAUGUUAAAGUUUGUACACAA